UGCACGCACCAAACACUGCCUCGAGGAGGGUUUCUGCGCUGAAGACGGUGUCUUUGUCUGACAGAAGCGUGGGCGCUGGGGUUUUCAAUCCUUCUAGAAGAGUAUGGGAGUUGGUGGACUCUGCAUAACAACAUUGGCUUAUUAUAGAAAUAAAUAAUGCAAUCCUUGAGAAGGUGCCUUCACUUCCCCGUUAAACCAGGUGGUUGUUUUUUAGCAGCACAGUCUUCUUCCUCAAAUGUGGGAUCUUGUAAGGAUGAGUCUAAAUGAGUCUGCAUCAUCAUAAAGCAUAAGAAGCUUGCUACAGCCCUGCUCUGACCCUUGGCUUGUCUCCUGGCUCCAGCUCUGACCCUUGGCACUGACUCCUGGUUCCUAUUUCUGG